GCUCCCUCUCAAGCACUGUCCUGCACGGUGGGUCAAAGGAACACAUGACGAAAGCAGAUUUCUGUGACAGUGAUUGAAAGGCGUCAGUGGGAGGUUUGGAGCUGAAUAAAGAGGCUACAUAACGGCUCCGCAAGGGUGAAGCCAAAGCAUAUUGAUAGCCACCUGCAUGGUGGCUGGCUGCGCUGUGUAUAUAGGUCCACGUGUGGAGACCAAGUCAAAUCCUGGAGACGAUUGUGACUAAGCAGGACCGAGACAGACUGGAGGGUGGAGAUGAAACACUGCAGGGAUCCUGAGUGUUCAGCAGUGAUCUGCAGUGCAAAGACAGGAUGACAGACGAGGACACGGUGACAUUAUUGUAGAGUUGGGCCCAGACAGACAUGUAACAGUGUCCCAUGAGAGAGGAUCUCACCAGCCUCUGGAGGACGAGUCACAUCAGUCAUGAUGGCGCCCUUGUCCAGUUUCACCACCAGCAGAUC